UACAGAGGUGGCAAGCGUUGUUCGGAAUUACUGGGCGUAAAGGGCGCGUAGGCGGCCUUCUAAGUCAGACGUGAAAUCCCCCGGCUUAACCUGGGAACUGCGUCUGAUACUGGGAGACUUGAGUAUGGGAGAGGGAUGUAGAAUUCCAGGUGUAGCGGUGAAAUGCGUAGAUAUCUGGAGGAAUACCGGUGGCGAAGGCGGCAUCCUGGACCAUAACUGACGCUGAGGCGCGAAAGCUAGGGGAGCAAACGGG
rnacentral:rRNA from 1 species